AUUGAACGCUGGCGGCAGGCCUAACACAUGCAAGUCGGGCGAACGAGGCUUCGGCCAAGUGAGCGGCGAACGGGUGAGUAACACGUAGGAAUCUGCCUGGUAGUGGGGGACAACGUCUCGAAAGGGACGCUAAUACCGCAUACGCCCUACGGAGGAAGGCAGGGGCUCUUCGGACCUUGCGCUAUCAGAUGAGCCUGCGUCGGAUUAGCUAGUUGGUAGGGUAAAGGCCUACCAAGGCGACGAUCCGUAACUGGUCUGAGAGGAUGAUCAGUCACACCGGAACUGAGACACGGUCCGGACUCCUACGGGAGGCAGCAGUGGGGAAUAUUGGACAAUGGGGGCAACCCUGAUCCAGCCAUGCCGCGUGUGUGAAGAAGGCCUUCGGGUUGUAAAGCACUUUAGGUCGGGAGGAAGGUUCGCUGGCUAAUAUCCAGCGGAAUUGACGUUACCGACAGAAUAAGCUCCGGCUAACUCUGUGCCAGCCGCCGCGGUAA
rnacentral:rRNA from 1 species